GAGGCACAUGCCUUGGGAGCUAAGUGGUUGCUGCCCUUGACUACUAUGAAGACUGGUGUGGGAAGGGUCGCUUUGGAUGCACUUGAGCAGGGGUCCCCAAUCCCUGAGCCAUGGAGCCGUAAGGAGCCACACAGCAGGUGGGACCAUCCAGUUUCAGGAAAACAAGCUGAACACGCCCACUGAUUCUACAUUAUGCUCCUACCUCCCGGCAGCCUCGCCAGGCCCAGAACUCUCUCCAGUCAGCCUCUACAGACCAAGCUCAUGACUCACAAUGGCCUAUUGAGGCCCAUACCCUACCUCACGGCAGUCUCCGCAGAUGAGCCUACUGCCUCACAGCAGCCUCCACAGGCACAGCUCCAUCGUUACAAUGGCCUCUUUAGACCCAGCUCCUGCCGCCCAGCCUUCUCUCCAGGCCCUGAACUUUCUCCGUGGGACCAUCCAGUUUCAGGAAAACAAGCUGAACACGCCCACUGAUUCUACAUUAUGCUCCUACCUCCCGGCAGCCUCGCCAGGCCCAGAACUCUCUCCAGUCAGCCUCUACAGACCAAGCUCAUGACUCACAAUGGCCUAUUGAGGCCCAUACCCUACCUCACGGCAGUCUCCGCAGAUGAGCCUACUGCCUCACAACAGCCUCCACAGGCACAGCUCCAUCGUUACAAUGGCCUCUUUAGACCCAGCUCCUGCCGCCCAGCCUUCUCUCCAGGCCCUGAACUUUCUCCGUGGGACCAUCCAGUUUCAGGAAAACAAGCUUAACACGCCCACUGAUUCUACAUUAUGCUCCUACCUCCCGGCAGCCUCGCCAGGCCCAGAACUCUCUCCAGUCAGCCUCUACAGACCAAGCUCAUGACUCACAAUGGCCUAUUGAGGCCCAUACCCUACCUCACGGCAGUCUCCGCAGAUGAGCCUACUGCCUCACAACAGCCUCCACAGGCACAGCUCCAUCGUUACAAUGGCCUCUUUAGACCCAGCUCCUGCCGCCCAGCCUUCUCUCCAGGCCCUGAACUUUCUCCGUGGGACCAUCCAGUUUCAGGAAAACAAGCUUAACACGCCCACUGAUUCUACAUUAUGCUCCUACCUCCCGGCAGCCUCGCCAGGCCCAGAACUCUCUCCAGUCAGCCUCUACAGACCAAGCUCAUGACUCACAAUGGCCUAUUGUGGCCCAUACCCUACCUCACGGCAGUCUCCGCAGAUGAGCCUACUGCCUCACAACAGCCUCCACAGGCACAGCUCCAUCGUUACAAUGGCCUCUUUAGACCCAGCUCCUGCCGCCCAGCCUUCUCUCCAGGCCCUGAACUUUCUCCGUGGGACCAUCCAGUUUCAGGAAAACAAGCUUAACACGCCCACUGAUUCUACAUUAUGCUCCUACCUCCCGGCAGCCUCGCCAGGCCCAGAACUCUCUCCAGUCAGCCUCUACAGACCAAGCUCAUGACUCACAAUGGCCUAUUGUGGCCCAUACCCUACCUCACGGCAGUCUCCGCAGAUGAGCCUACUGCCUCACAACAGCCUCCACAGGCACAGCUCCAUCGUUACAAUGGCCUCUUUAGACCCAGCUCCUGCCGCCCAGCCUUCUCUCCAGGCCCUGAACUUUCUCCGUGGGACCAUCCAGUUUCAGGAAAACAAGCUUAACACGCCCACUGAUUCUACAUUAUGCUCCUACCUCCCGGCAGCCUCGCCAGGCCCAGAACUCUCUCCAGUCAGCCUCUACAGACCAAGCUCAUGACUCACAAUGGCCUAUUUAGGCCCAUACCCUACCUCACGGCAGUCUCCGCAGAUGAGCCUACUGCCUCACAACAGCCUCCACAGGCACAGCUCCAUCGUUACAAUGGCCUCUUUAGACCCAGCUCCUGCCGCCCAGCCUUCUCUCCAGGCCCUGAACUUUCUCCGUGGGACCAUCCAGUUUCAGGAAAACAAGCUUAACACGCCCACUGAUUCUACAUUAUGAUUCUUCAGGCCCAGCAUCUGCCUCACUGUGGACCCCCCAAGCCAAGCUCCCAACCUUUCAGCAGCUUCUACACACCCAGCUCCCGCCUGCCAGUGGCCUCUUCAGGCCCAUGGGGCUCAUUCCUCACAACAGCCUUUCCAGUCCCAGUUUUUCCCUUCCGGCGGCCUCUCCGGGCUGAGAACCUCCUCAAGUCGGCCUCUCCAGACUCACUUGCACCCUCCAGGCGUCCUCUCCGGGCCAAGCUCCUCUUCCUGGCUGCGUCUCCAGGCCUGACUCCUGCCUCUCAACAACCUCUUUGGACUCAGUGCCUACCCAUCUCCUGGCGUCCUUGGUCGGCCCACAGCUUCCUCAAGCCAAGCUCCCCAGGCCCAGGUCAGGCCUCACGGUGCCCCCUCCACGAUGAGCUCCUGCCCUCCAAUGGCACCUGCAGGACCCAAAUGGUCUCCGGUCGGUGGGCUCCUCCACGCCAAGCUUGGGCCUCCCGGUGACCUCUGCAGGCCCAAGUUGUCCUGAAGUCGGCAUCUCCCAGCCAUGCCUCCCAGCAAGUAAGCAAGCUCUUUUGGCUCAACUCCUGCCCAGCUCCCAACCGCCUUUGUAGGUCACGAACUUUCUCCAGCCAAGUUCUUUGGGCCUCAUUCCUGCCGCCCGGUGGCCUGUACGGGCCCAGCAAUGGUUGGAGAACGGCCUCUGCAGGUCCCGCUCUUGCCUCCCAGGGGCCUCUCCAGGCCCAGCUCUUGCCCCCACAGCGGCCACCUGGGGCCAAGUCCCUGCCUGCCUCCCAGCAGCCCGCAUGCGGCCCAGCUCCUCCCUCACGGUGGCCUGUUGAUGCCCAUGCCUCUGGUACCCUGCCCAGAGGCAUGAGCCCCUGCCGCACACUGGCUCCUCCCACGCUGAGAGAGGUCAGCGUGAGCCCUUGCCUCACACCGGCCCCUCCCAUGCUGAGAGAGGUCAGCGUGAGCCCCUUGCCUGACACUGGCUCCUCCCACGCUGAGAGAGGUCAGCGUGAGCCCUUGCCUCACACCGGCCCCUCCCAUGCUGAGAGAGGUCGGCGUGAGCCCUUGACUCACACCGGCCCCUCCCACGGUGAGAGAGGUCAGCGUCAGCCCCUUGCCUCACACCGGCCCCUCCCACGCUGAGAGAGGUCGGCGUGAGCCCCUUGCCUCACACCGGCCCCUCCCACGGUGAGAGAGGUCAGCGUCAGCCCCUUGCCUCACACCGGCCCCUCCCACGCUGAGAGAGGUCGGCGUGAGCCCCUUGCCUCACACCGGCCCCUCCCACGCUGAGAGAGGUCGGCGUGAGCCCCUUGCCUCACACCGGCCCCUCCCACGCUGAGAGAGGUCGGCGUGAGCCCUUGCCUCACACCGGCCCCUCCCACGCUGAGAGAGGUCAACGUGAGCCCCUUGCCUCACACCGGCCCCUCCCACGCUGAGAGAGGUCGGCGUGAGCCCUUGCCUCACACCGGCCCCUCCCACGCUGAGAGAGGUCAACUUGAGCCCCUUGCCUCACACCGGCCCCUCCCACACUGAGAGAGGUCAACAUGAGCCCCUUGCCUCACACCGGCCCCUCCCACGCUGAGGGAGGUCGGCAUGAGCCCUUGCCUCACACCGGCCCCUCCCACGCUGAGAGAGGUCAACAUGAGCCCCUUGCCUCACACCGGCCCCUCCCACGCUGAGAGAGGUCAGCGUGAGCCCUUGCCUCACACCGGCCCCUCCCACGCUGAGAGGGGUCGGCAUGAGCCCCUUGCCUCACACGGGCCCCUCUCACUCUGACAGAGGUCAGCCUGAGCCCUUGUCUCACACCGGCCCCUCCCACGCUGAGAGAGGUCAGCGUGAGCCCUUGCCUCACACCGGCCCCUCCCACGCUGAGAGAGGUCAGCGUGAGCCCUUGCCUCACACCGGCCCCUCCCACGCUGGGAGAGGUCAGCGUGAGCCCCUUGCCUCACCCCGGCCCCUCCCACGCUGAGAGAGGUCGGCGUGAGCCCUUGCCUCACACCGGCCCCUCCCACGCUGAGAGAGGUUGGCGUGAGCCCCUUGCCUCACACCGGCCCCUCCCACGCUGAGAGAGGUCGGCGUGAGCCCUUGCCUCACACCGGCCCCUCUCACGGUGAGAGAGGUCGGCGUGAGCCCCUUGCCUCACACCGGCCCCUCCCACGCUGAGAGAGGUCAGCGUGAGCCCUUGCCUCACACCGGCCCCUCCCACGCUGAGAGAGGUCAGCGUGAGCCCCUGCCUCAACAGGCCACCGUGAGGGAGGAGCAGGGUCGCACGCGGGCUGCUGUGAGGCAGGCAGCGACUUGGGCCUGGGAGGUCGUGGUGGGGUGAGAGCUGGGCUUGGAGACUCCCCUGGGAGGCAACAGCGGGGCCUACAGACUCUGUUCUCCAGCCGGAGCUGGGACUGUUCAGGUACUGGGAGGUGGGAUGUGGGUCUGAAGAGCUUGGUUGCAGAAACUUCAGGGUCUACAAACGCAGGCGGGAGCUGAGCCAAAAAAGCUUGUUUGCUGGGAGGCGGGAGAUGCAGCCAGGAGAAACAGCUAUGCCUGCAGAGGCCGCCAUGCGGGAGGCGGAGGCCGGGCCUCCUCAAAUCGGCCUCUCCAGACCCACUUGCAGCCUCCCGGCAUCCUCUCCGGGCCCAGCUCUUCCUCCCGGCUGCGUCUGCAGGCCUGACUCUGGCCUCCCAACAACGUCUUUGGACUCAGCUCCUGCCCAGCUCCCAGCAGGCCCAAGUUGUCGUCAAGUCGGCCUGGAAUUGGGCCCGGAAGAGCAGCAAGUCGGCCUCCCCGGGCCCAGCUCCGUCCUCUCGGCGGCCUCUCCAGGUGCAAAACUUCCUCGAGUCAGCCUCUCCAGGCCCAGCUCCUCCUGCCUCCCAGUGGCCUCUUUCAGCCCAGACCAGCUCAUGGCUCUUGGCGGCCUUCCCAGGCCCCGCUUUUGACUUUUGGUGGCCUCUUCAGGCCCAGAACUUGACCUCCAGUGGGCCUUUGCAGGCCCGGCCUCCUGCCUCUCGAAGGCCUGCACGGGCCCGGACUCACAGCGGACUCACAGCGGACUCUCCAUGCCCAGCUAGCUCUCGCCUCAUUGCGGCCUCCCGAGUCCAAAGCUCCUGCCUCUCGGCCGCUUCGGCAGGCCCAGCUCCCGCCUGCCAGUGGCCUCUUUAGGCCCAGCUCAUUCCUCACAACAGCCUUCCCAGGCCCCGUUUUUCCCUUCUGGCAGCCUCUUGGCCUCUAAUUUGUUUAUCUUUUGUGUAUAAAUCCCAAAAUAUUGAAUUUUGGAAUAUUUCCACCAUUAUGUAAAUAUUUUGGUAGGUGAUUUAUUUGGGGUGAGUUUCUGCACCAAGCCCGAAUUUUUUAUUUUAUUUUCCUUAUUAUUUGGUGUUAAACAGGUUUAAUGACGGUCAUGGCAACUGUUUGGCACAAUGAAAAAUAUCGCCCAUGA